rnacentral:rRNA from 1 species
AUUGAACGCUGGCGGCAGGCCUAACACAUGCAAGUCGAGCGCGAAAGUCUUCGGAUGAGUAAAGCGGCGAACGGGUGAGUAAUGCAUGGGAACCUGCCUGGUAGUGGGGGACAACGUCUCGAAAGGGACGCUAAUACCGCAUACGCCCUACGGGGAAAGGGGGGAGUCUUCGGACCUCUCGCUAUCAGAUGAGCCCAUGUCAGAUUAGCUAGUUGGUGAGGUAAAGGCUCACCAAGGCGACGAUCUGUAACUGGUCUGAGAGGAUGAUCAGUCACACUGGAACUGAGACACGGUCCAGACUCCUACGGGAGGCAGCAGUGGGGGAAUAUUGGACAAUGGGGGGCGAACCCUGAUCCAGCCAUGCCGCGUGUGUGAAGAAGGCCCUAGGGUUGU